rnacentral:lncRNA from 1 species
GUGAAUUCGGACAAAGCAAGUAUGUGGACUGUGAAAUUGCCAAAAUGACUUCCCUGAUGUUUUUUGUAAAGCUUUGGUAACAUACACCUCUUGCAAUUCUGAUACGACAGUUUACUGGAGGCUGAUCAAAUAUUAGCGUUCUUUAGGAAAGCAGCUGGGGACCUUUCUCGUUCUUUUUCCAUUCACUUUUGGAGGCCGAUGCAGUGGACGUGCGUGCGCAUCAACCACUACCACCAGCAACACGUGCUUUAAGAACGUAUUACUUCUAUCUGCUUUCUCUGGACAGGACACAGAAGAAACGGUGCAACUUGAACUCGAGACACUGUACUCAAAGCCAUCUUUCUUUUUGAUGAGGAAAAGUACAAGUCUGUGACGGUACCUGCAAGGACAGCUGGCUGAAGAGGUCAUCCAAUCUGUGGAACAAACAAGUUGUUUAUUAAAGUU